CAGUAGCCGCGGUAAUACGUAGGGUGCGAGCGUUAAUCGGAAUUACUGGGCGUAAAGCGUGCGCAGGUGGUUGUGUAAGACAGGUGUGAAAUCCCCGGGCUUAACCUGGGAACUGCGCUUGUGACUGCACAGCUAGAGUAUGGCAGAGGGGGGUGGAAUUCCACGUGUAGCAGUGAAAUGCGUAGAGAUGUGGAGGAACACCGAUGGCGAAGGCAGCCCCCUGGGCCAAUACUGACGCUCAUGCACGAAAGCGUGGGGAGCAAACAGGAUUAGAUACCCGCGUAGUCCCUGUCUCUUAUAA
rnacentral:rRNA from 1 species